ensembl:lncRNA
AUGUACAGGGGGAAGGAGACAGGGAUACUGGAGUGAUGGAGGAAGAUAUGUAGAGGGGUAAGGUGACUAUAUACAGGGUCAGUACCAUAUUAACAAUGUACAGGGAUACUGGAGUGAUGGAGGUAGAUAUGUAUAGGGGUAAGGUGACAGGGAUACUGGAGUGAUGGAGGUAGAAAUGUAUAGGGGUAAGGUGACAGGGAUACUGGGGUGAUGGAGGUAGAUAUGUACAGGGGUAAGGUGACAGGGAUACUGGAGGGAUGGAGGUAGAUAUGUAUAGGGGGAAGGUGACAGGGAUACUGGAGGGAUGGAGGUAGAUAUGUAUA